GUUGCUAGGUCAUUGAAUCUGGCAAAACUUGCUCUGAGCUGUGAAUGGGAACUGUCACCAAGGCUACAGCCUGAGGCCUAUGUUCUGUCACCAAGGAGACAGCAUGGAGGUGGUGCCUGUGAGAGGAGCCAGGCUAAAGGAGGGGUCAGGGAGCCUGAUAAUUUACUUACUAGAAGUGUAACAAAGAACCUGCCUGGGUCUGACGGAGCCUUUCAUGGGGGAAGCAGGCGGCAAAACCAGCCUGUCCACGGAGAACAGCUCCCAGGCCCUGCUCGGUUGUGGGGUCCCUUCUUGGCCAUCAUCUCCAGUGCAGUGAGCAGGUACCACCCUGGAUUUCUGCUUCCAGCUGCUGUGCUCCAUGUGAGCUGUGUGCUGACUCUGCUUACAUCAUUACAGCAGCAGCUAUUUUAUCAAAUCCCUGGGCUGACGGUGGGAGCAGGGUGACUAACGGAGAAGCCCCCUCGUGCUCCAGCAGUCUGGGCUGAGGUAACUGACCGAUCAGAAUGUAAAAAUACAGAGGUGAAGGGAAAUACUUUUGGGGUUGGGGAAGUGAUCGGACCCUGAAAGUCAAGGAGCAGUGAGAGCCUGUAAUUCAGUGCGGCAGCAGAGAUGUACAUGCAAAAUUGCUCUAAUUAAGUCCCUGUGUGUUUGUUGAAUCUCUUUGGCUCCUCCCUCAAUUCUCACAAAUAAAUGACUGUGCUACACUAGCAGCUAUUUCACUGGGGGGCACCACACCAUACCCUGCAUUAUAGGUGACUCAUGGUAGCACUUGGGAGGUGCAUUGCCCCCUAUGCCUCUGCCAAAAUUUUAAUUGCUAAAAGGGGUGUUCUUGCAUGUCCCCUUCCUCUUCUGGCUUGGGCUCCUGGUUGCACCCUCUUCUCUGGCAGGCACCAGUUGCUUCAGUUCCGCAUCACUGGACUUGGCAACUCACAAGCUACGUACUCCCUGAAGCUGGCAUCAGAAGAGAGCUAGAAGAUUCUUCACUGGUCUAUAUUAAGCCCCUCUAUCACACUGUGACCAGUGAGUUAAGAAAUGGCUACCCAACCCUGACUUCCUCUUCUAGGAUUGGAGGUGAAGCCAGCUACCAAAACUCCAACUUUUCACUUGGUCUUUCUCACCCCAGUUUGUAGUGGACCCAAAUGCACCACAGGAAAUUGUAAAGGGCAACUCCAGACAGCACUCUACAAAUGCUUUCAGAUCUAACCUAUCUGCUGUAUAGUUCAGUUUAUUUUGUGAGAAAAUGCAUUUCAUUCAUGUUACUUCUGAGCAGUUUUCGGCAUAUUAUAUUCAACCUCUGGCUGAGGGUGGUAGCAGUUCAGACCUCCAUAGUAUUUCUUGAUAAGAAGAUGAUGCAAGAUAGCCUGAUAUAUAUCCCUACAGAUUCAAGUCAUGGUGCUAUGGACUCUCACUUAUCUCAGGAAACUGCCACCACAACUGCCUCUGAACAUCUGGAUGAGUCAAACAAUGAGAGCACAUCAGGAGAUAGUGAAGGUGAAGGAAAGAAAACGAGAGGAAAGACACUGUCUAUGAACUGUGCUCCAGCACCAAGUGAGAAAUUAGAACAAGCACAGAAGAUGGCAGAAAAGUUCAUUAAAGAAAAAGAGGUGCAUAAAGCCAACAGGGAGCUUAUUAGAUGUGUGGCUCUUACUAGAAUCAUCUAUGGAGAUGGUCACUGGCAACUGGCACAAGCAUUCGCCAACCUGGCUCACAGCUAUCUAAUCCUUCGAGGUCUUCCUGCACAAGCCAUAGAGCAUGCUGAAUCAGCCAAACGUACCAUGCUGACUGGGAAUCAUAUACCUCCAGAGGACAAAAUAGAAAUAUUAGGAACUCUUGUGACUAUCUACUAUACCUUGGGCGUAGCACAUCUGGCACAGAACAAUGGCAAAGAAUCCUAUCUUAGUCUGCAGAAGGCAGAGAGACUCAUGGAAGAACUAAAAGAACUGAAUGGGACAAUGACCGUGGGAUUAAAAAUAUCUGAGAAAGAUUUAGUCAUUGCACUGGGCAGGACAUGUUUGCAGCAAAACAAAUUGGUCUUUGCCACGGGUUAUUUUGAAAAAGCGGUUGAUGCUGUAAUUUCAGCUGAAGGAGACACCGCUCCAGAACUGAUACAUCUUUAUCAGAAAAUUGCCCAAAGUGAGCAGCUGAAAAAAAACCAUGAAAGAGCAAUAGGAUAUUUAUUACAGGCACAUUCCAUUUGCGUGGCUCUGCACAAGAAACUUAGUGCUGAAGCUGCUCAGACGGGGCUGUUAUUGGGCAAAGCAUAUGCUGCAACUGGAGAACAGCAGCAUAUUGAGGCAGCCGAAAUGUAUUUUACAGAGAGUCUGACUGCAUAUGAGGCAGCAUUGGGUGCAAAGGAUGCCCUGACGCUUACUGCCAUUGAGGAAUUCAGUAAAUGGCUUGUACAAGUAGGGAAAAACCAGCAGGCAUACAGGCUGCUGAAAGAUUCAUUAAAGUCCAUCAUAGACACCUUUGGUGAUUUUAGUGAGAAGACAGCUGAAACUUACCAUAUUUUGGGCAGUAUCUGCCUAACAGAGGGAAAAGUCAGAGAGGCUUACCAGCUGUUCAGUAAGCGUUUGGCGAUUCAAAUAGCUGUUUAUGGGCCUCGUAACAAGAAACCCAAAGAGACGCAAGAUCUCCUGACUGCAUUAGAGAGGUCUCCAGCAGUCCAUGAAGGAAACAGACUUGUGAAGUAGAUAAAAUAGACAGCACUGAAGAAAACAGUUGGCAAAAAAUGUUGGAUUCUUAGCAAUUGACAGCAAAGUAAAUCUAAAUUGGAGGAUUAAUGUGAGAACUCAAAUACAAUCUACUUGUUACCAUUAACUCAACAGAAAAUUCUGUUUAUAUUUGCUUUAGUUUAGGAAAAAGCAUCAACGUUCCAGGUAAACUUCCCCCUCCUAUUCUUCCCUCAUUUUUUUAUUAUAUUUUUAAGGUCUGGGUCUAAUGUAGCAUAUCAGAUAUUUUACUGAUGGGAAUUAAAAAUGUGUAUAAAUUUCAAAAGUCUUGAUUAAAUGACUGCCUGUGGGAAAGAUAUAGCAAUACAUAUUUACAUACAUUUAAAAGCAUUUAUUUGAAGACAUUCCACUAGACUUUGGUGAAUGAAAGCAGAAUAUACAUAAUGGAGAAACCCAGACUAGACCCUUAUUCCCCCCACCUAUUAGUAUAUUUGCCUUUUUAUAAUCUAACCAUGGAAAGUAACCCAAUGUGUUAAAUAUAGUCUGCUUUUAGAACUUCAGCUAAGAAAACAGAAUGCUUAACUUCAUUGCCAAGUUUAAUUCUCAUGCCUAUGGUUUGAAUCGGGAUAUUGGAUGGCUUGCACAUUAUCAACCAACUAACCAAUGAAGGUGCUAUCUUCCUUUCCAAGUGCUAACGGUUCUUAUCAGUCUCCUGUAACUACUCAGUCUUUAAGAUGCUACUAGACUUGUUUAAUUUUUUCCUGUUACAGACUCACUCGGCUAUCCCUCUGAAGCUUAUCUACUCACUGUCUUUUUUUCUUCCUCCCCUUCAAUUCCCCCCCCCCCCCCCCACACAC